GAAAAAAUUCAUUUUUUGAAAAAUAAAAAUUUAGUGAAGUAAAACAUUUUAGUAACUAAAAAAAAAAUCAACCGAGAAAUCGUUAGUAGUGGCGAGCGAAUGCGAUAAAUAGACUGUAUAAUAACUAGAGGCGAAAAAUUAUUUAUGUAAAUAAAUAAAAACCAAAGAAGGUAUAUAAAAGAAUAAGUCCUGUAGAACUCUUAACGAAAGUAGUUAUAAAAUACGAAUAAACAGCGGAUUAUGUUAAAUCUGUUGAUUAAUGAGGAUCUACCCUCAAGUCUAAAAAUUUUCAAUAAUCGAUAGUGUACAAGUACCGUGAGGGAAAGGUGAAAAAGUACUUUAAUAGGGUAAAAUAUAAAGAACCUAAAAUUUAAUGCAUAUAAUCAGUUGGAGCUUUUUAAUUAAAAGUGACAGCGUACCUUUUGCAUAAUGGGCCAGUGAUUUUUUUUUUAUAGCAAGCUUAAUAAACAAGAAUUAGUAGGCGUAAAAAAUUUGAUUUUGAAAUCAAAAGAGAAAGUUAUAAAAAAAAGACCCGAAGCUGAGUGAUCUAACCAUGAACAGGUUGAAGAAUAUUGCGGCAACGCAGUUUGGAGGACCGAACCCGUGUCUGUAGAAAAAUACUGGGAUGAUUUGUGGUUAGGAGUGAAAGGCUAAUCAAACUCAGGUAUAGCUGGUUUUCUGCGAAAUAUAUUUUAGUAUAGCCUGCAAGUAAAGUUAAUGUAGGGUAGAGCACUUUUUAUUUAAGGGGGGUCUAAGACCUUACUGAUUAUAGAAAAACUCCGAAUAUGCAUUAAGAUUUUUGUGGAGUCAGACAAUAGGUGCGAAGGUCUAUUGUCAAGAGGGAAACAGCCCAGAUUAUUUGAUAAGGUCUUAAAUUAUAAGUUAAGUGAUAAGAAUGUUUAAAAAUAUUGACAAUUAUAAAGUAGGCUUGGAAGCAGCCAUCUUUUUGAGAGUGCGUAACAGCUCAUUAAUCUAGUUUUUUUGCGUCGAAAAUGUAUAGAGACUAAAGCUUAUAACCGAAUCAGUAAAAUAUAACAUAUUGGUAGCAGAACAUUCGGUAAGUUUUUUAGAUAUUUUGUAAAAAAUAUUGUAGAUAUCCGAAGAGAGUAUACUGGCAUUAGUAGCAUGAAACAGUGUAAAAAUCACUGUCGCCGUAAAUCUAAGGUUUUCGUAGCAACAUUUAUUGACUACGUAUUGUGUUUAUCACAAUAUAAUCGGCCCCUAAGACAAAUUACAAAAGUAUAAGUUGAUGGGAUAUUUAAUGUGACAAAAUAAAAAAAGUAUUAAAAAAGAAAAGAAUUGGUUUUAUAAGAUAGAAAUAUACUUAUAUUCGUUGUUUUCUUUUUUAGUGCUCUAUUGUUUUCUGGAAAUAGCAUUAAAGUUAAAAAAACCGUACCUUAAACCGACACAGGUAGAUGGGUAGAAAAUACUAAGGCGUUCAAGAUAAGUAUGUUGAAGGAACUCGGCAAAAUUGCUCUGUAACUUCGGAAGAAGGAGUGACAUUCUUAGGGCAACCUAAGAUUGUUGACACUAAAGAGGGGGUAACAACUGUUUAACAAAAACACAGGUCUUUGCCAAUUUGAAAAAAGAAGUAUAAAGACUGACACCUGCCCGGUGCUGUAAGGUUACGUAGAUAUGCUAUCGCAUUGAAAUUAAGCUCCAGUAAACGGCGGCUGUAACUCUGACGGUCCAAAGGUAGCGAAAUUCCUUGUCGGGUAAGUUCCGACCUGCAUGAAUGGUGUAAUGAUUUCUCCACUGUCUCCAACAUAUCCUUGGUGAAUUUGAAAUGCCCGUGAAGAUGCGGGCUCUUUGCAGUUAGACGGGAAGACCCCGUGCACCUUUACUAUGAUCUAAAGUUGUAAAAUUAAAGUUUUUGUGUAGCAUAGAUGGGAGCGAAAGCAUCAGUGAAAUACCAUCCUUUCUUUUUAAUUCUACUAAGUUUUUUCUAAAACGACAGCUUGUGAGAGGUAGUUUGACUGGGGCGGUCACCUCCUAAAGAGUAACGGAGGUGUACAUAAGGCAAACUCCAAUAAUUUUUUAUUGCAGAGCGUAAUGGUAUAUGUUUGCUUGACUGUAAGAUAGACAUAUCGAACAGGGAUGAAUAGUCGGUCAUAGUGAUCCGGUGAUUUUGUGUGGAAAAAUCAUCGCUCAACGAAUAAAAGGUACGCCGGGGAUAACAGGCUUAUGG
rnacentral:rRNA from 1 species